rnacentral:rRNA from 1 species
GACGAACGCUGGCGGCGUGCCUGAUACAUGCAAGUUGAGCGCUGAAGGUUGGUACUUGUACCGACUGGAUGAGCAGCGAACGGGUGAGUAACGCGUGGGGAAUCUGCCUUUGAGCGGGGGACAACAUUUGGAAACGAAUGCUAAUACCGCAUAAAAACUUUAAACACAAGUUUUAAGUUUGAAAGAUGCAAUUGCAUCACUCAAAGAUGAUCCCGCGUUGUAUUAGCUAGUUGGUGAGGUAAAGGCUCACCAAGGCGAUGAUACAUAGCCGACCUGAGAGGGUGAUCGGCCACAGUGGGACUGAGACACGGCCCAAACUCCUACGGGAGGCAGCAGUAGGGAAUCUUCGGCAAUGGACGAAAGUCUGACCGAGCAACGCCGCGUGAGUGAAGAAGGUUUUCGGAUCGUAAAACUCUGUUGGUAGAGAAGAACGUUGGUGAGAGUGGAAAGCUCAUCAAGUGACGGUAACUACCCAGAAAGGGACGGCUAACUACGUG